UGUUAAGUGACUGUUAUUUUCAUUUAAUUAAAGAAGGAAGUGUCUGAUUGUAAUCCAGCUCUGAUUGGUGUUUCAGCGUUGCUAUGCAACCUCUUGGGGUUAAUGUGGACCCACCCUCUGUUGCAUGUGAUGUCAUACAUGCUCCUCCCCUUAACCCUGCCUCUCAACUUGCUGUUUGAAAACACACACAGGUAACACAAUUACAGAGACCCAGCACACACAAACACACGCACACGCACACACACACGUGCACACACAGACAAACAGAAGUGUAUGAUCCCUCCUCUCUCUCACUGUGUGUGGUUAGGCUGUAUGGUCUAGCCUUCUGGACGUUUCAGGACCUGCGUCAAGUUGCCUUAUAUGUGAUCAACAUCCUGGUCUCCAGCCUCCACAGAAACCUACAGAAGAGGGUUCUCCCCCAUCUCCAAGGGUUGCUGCUGACGAAGGUUCAGGCGGAGUAUGAGGCUUUGGGAGAUCCCUCCCAGCGACAGCGAUGCUCCACCCUGAGCCUCCACUUCUCGUCCCCCUCCUCCUCCACCUCCAACACCCCCACUCCCUCCUCACCAGACUACGAACAGUACACCGUCCUGCUCCGCUUGGAUCUGGAGCGGGGAAAUGUGGAGAGGCAGGAAAAGGAAGAGAUUGAGGGAAAUAUUGGGAGAGAGAUGGAGGGAGAGAUGGAGGGAGAGAUGGAGGAAUGGAAACGCUUCCCCUCCUACCUUUCUGUCAUGGGCUAAGAGAAGUGAGGAUGAUGAGAAGAAUAAGAUGAAUCAUUGUUUACUAAUUUAUUAAAACAUAGAAAAUCAACAGCUGAUGGUUGUACCAAUAACGCAGGAGAUUAGCAUGUUAACCUCUCCCCAUUACCAAUAACGCAGGAGAUUAGCAUGUUAACCUCUCCCCAUUACCAAUAACGCAGGAGAUUAACAUGUUAACCUCUCCCCAUUACCAAUAAUGCAGGAGAUUAGCAUGUUAACCUCUCCCCAUUACCAAUAACGCAGGAGCUUAGCAUGUUAACCUCUCCCUAUUACCAAUAACGCAGGAGAGUAGCAUGUUAACCUCCCACCAUUACCAAUAACGCAGAAGAUUAGCAUGUUAACCUCCCACCAUUAUCAAUAAAGUUCUCACUCAUCAUUAUUCACAAUGUUUUAAUGAUUAUCCAUUAUUUGGAUGCAACCAAUCAUGGUAGCAUCCAAAUAAAUUUUGAAAAUAUUUUCUUUUGACCUUUUAACUUUUCACCUUUAGUUCAACAAAAUCAAUCAAAUAAGUUAGUAUUGUUGCAAGUCAGAUGUUUUCAUUACAUGCAGAGAAUAUUAAACUGAAUACUCAAUGUUUGACAAUUUAUUAACUGAACGUUCACAUACAUUUUACAGAAAUGUUAUAAAAAUGUUGGAUGAAAUUGCUCAAUAAAGAAAUCUCUGCUAUCUGCUGUGCAUGAAACAUGUCUUUCAUGGGGAGACGGCUGAAAGAGACAAGG
rnacentral:lncRNA from 1 species